rnacentral:rRNA from 1 species
AGAGUUUGAUCCUGGCUCAGAUUGAACGCUGGCGGCAGGCCUAACACAUGCAAGUCGAGCGGAGGUAGCAAUACCUUAGCGGCGGACGGGUGAGGAAUGCAUCGGAACGUGCCGUGUAGUGGGGGAUAACACAGCGAAAGUUGUGCUAAUACCGCAUACGCCCUGAGGGGGAAAGUGGGGGACCGCAAGGCCUCACGCUAUAUGAGCGGCCGAUGCCCGAUUAGCUAGUUGGUGAGGUAAUGGCUCACCAAGGCGACGAUCAGUAGCGGGUCUGAGAGGAUGAUCCGCCACACUGGAACUGAGACACGGUCCAGACUCCUACGGGAGGCAGCAGUGGGGAAUUUUGGACAAUGGGGGCAACCCUGAUCCAGCCAUUCCGCGUGAGUGAAGAAGGCCUUCGGGUUGUAAAGCUCUUUCAGCUGGAACGAAACGGUACGCUCUAACGUAGUGUGCUAAUGACGGUACCAGCAGAAGAAGCACCGGCUAACUACGUGCCAGCAGCCGCGGUAAUACGUAGGGUGCGAGCGUUAAUCGGAAUUACUGGGCGUAAAGCGUGCGCAGGCGGAUUGUUAAGCAAGACGUGAAAUCCCCGGGCUUAACCUGGGAAUGGCGUUUUGAACUGGCAGUCUAGAGUGUGUCAGAGGGGGGUAGAAUUCCACGUGUAGCAGUGAAAUGCGUAGAGAUGUGGAGGAAUACCAAUGGCGAAGGCAGCCCCCUGGGAUAACACUGACGCUCAUGUACGAAAGCGUGGGUAGCAAACAGGAUUAGAUACCCUGGUAGUC